rnacentral:sRNA from 1 species
GUUCCUAACACAUGGGAAAAGAACGAGAAAACUUGGGUGUAGCAAUGCAUCCGGGUUAUUCCAGUGGCGUACGGGUGAGUAACACGUGGCCAACCUACCCUCGAGUGGGGAAUAACCUGGGGAAACCUGGGCUAAUGCCGCAUAACAUCCUGGUUCCACAAGGGACGGGGAUCAAAGGCCCGCAAGGGUCGCUGGAGGAGGGGGCUGCGGCCGAUUAGCUAGUUGGUGAGGUAACGGCCCACCAAGGCGACGACGGGUAGCCGACCUGAGAGGGUGACCGGCCACACUGGGACUGAGACACGGCCCAGACUCCUACGGGAGGCAGCAGUGGG